AUCCCAGAUUAACUUGCUUAGCUGUUCUUCUGAUUCAUGGGAGGCCAAAAUCGGUGUUCCCUGGGAGUUCCGCUGAUAUUGGCUGGGAGGUGCUUUAUUAGUAACUCACCACACAAAC
rfam:Zea mays cultivar B73 chromosome 5, whole genome shotgun sequence.